AGCAGCGACAAGUGAAAUUUUGUCUUAUAUUACUCUUUCUUUUUUCUUUCCUCUUUAGCCUUUUUUAUUCCUUUUUCUCUCCCUUUUCCUUCGUUCUCCCUCUGUAUUUUUGCAAACCCAGGAUUGAAACAAGACUGAAUUUUUAAAGCCACCACCUCUGUUGGACGUGAAUCUUUUGCUAGCCUCGACGACUAUAGGGAGCCUCUUGUCCACCUCCUUUAAAGAGUCUCUUUCAUUCUCAUCGAUGACGUUAAGUUGUGGAUGUAGAAGGUCUAUAGAUUUUGGGAUUAUCAUCAUUGAAGGAGAGAACUUGUACCAAAGAUCAUCGAAAGAGCUUGUUGAGUUUGUGAACGAGCGGGUUCUAGUUGAUGAAAUCAUAGUGUUUGUGAAGGAGAUGCUCAAUGGAGGGAGUCAGAGACAUCUUUCUUCAUCAUCUCCAACCACUAACUGGAUCUUUCUUCUCACAUGGUUGUCCAACUACUUAAUGUAUUUAUUCUACUUAUUUAUCUCAUAUUGAUUUAUUUUCAUUUCUAGUUUUUUAUUUGAGGUUUUGAAACUCAUGAAGUCCAAAGUAAGCAGCUAGGUCCUCUGAGGCAGUCUUGAGCUGGGUCUGACACGCAUGAGGCAAGUGUGAAGGAUGAGGAAGAGAUAGAGCCUACAAAAUGCAUGAGUUGGGACACAAAGGUGGGUUUGGGUGUUUGAUUUUUUCCUAUUAUUUCUUUCAUGCGUUGUUAUUCUUGUUCUGUCUUGGGGGUGUUAUUGUGAUUUCCUUCACAUUCAUAUAAAAAAUAUCUAUAUUAGUUUAAUAAUAUUUUUUUUUGUAGGUGUGUGGAUAGUUUCAAUUACAUAGAUAAACAUUAAUUUUAAGUGGGACAAGUGGAAUCAUUCAUUGAUCUUUCAAUUCAUCAAAGGGUCAAUCACUACUUGUUACACAUGUAUACUAACCAGCCUAUAUAACAAAUAUUGUUGAUCAUCUUAAUUAAAUAAGCUAGUGAGUCAUCUUAUCAUAAAGUCGUUGAUAUAAUUCUACAUAUCAUUAAUUUCUGCUACUUUUCGACUAAGAAAUAGAUUUGUAGAGACUAAGAUUAUAAAGGAAAGAUAAUAUUAAUUAUAUAACAAUAAUUUGAAUGAAUACUUUUUUGUUAGGUAAUAUGUAUACGAAAAGAUUUAAAGUAGGGUCCUAUUUUACAUAUAUAUAUAUGCUUGACAGAGAGGAGUUGAAUAUAUAUAUAUAUAUUUAUGAAUAUACAGUCUUGAAUGACCUGUAGAAAUUAAAGUUAAAAUGUAUAUAUUGAAAACACACCAUAUUGGACGAAAUAAUGGCAUUGAUGACCAUAUUUUGAAAAUAAUAAUUUUGAAACUAAUAUGUGUUAGGUUGUUUAUUAACCAAGUUUUUAUCUUGCAAUAAGUAAAAUUUUACAUUUUACCUUAAGUUCUAAAAUUUCAUUUUUACACUAAGUGUAAAAAUCAUAUUUUUCAUAUUUUUAACUACAUACUUUGUUAGGUCAUAACAUAAAAUUUACGUACCCAAUUGUUACCAAAAUUUUCCAAUUUUAUUUGUGGUAUGCCAUUUAGGUCUUUGUAAAAUCUUAGGUCAAAAGGAGCAUUUUUUAUUGGUGAAAUUAUUUUCCAACAAUGAGGUAAAAAUGAUAUUAUUUUCAAGUCCUUAUUUUUUCCAAACUUUGACACUUAAUAACUUUCAAACCAUUCAUUAUUUUCUUACCAAAUUUUACAGUGGAAUACUAGGUGAUGCCAAUAAUAUGUCCACCAAAUUUUAGAAAAAACUGGGUUCAUUAUCCCUAUACAGUGGCUGUCCAAACUUGGUCUCGAAAUUAAGAAUACGAAAAAAUAGAUUUUUACCUAAACUUUGAAAUAGCAUAACUCACUCAUUUUUAAACAUUUUUUAGUGUUUAAAAAACUCAAUUUUAUGUAAUCAAUCUCAAAAACAUUACAGUAAAAUUAAAUUUUAAAAAAAUCAAUAUACAAUGGAGGCUUGACCCCUUUGGAGGUCAAAACUCAAAACAUGUAUUUUGUUUUAAGGUUUCUAACAAAACCCUUGGGGGUUUUGGUCCCUAUUUUCAAAAGUCAACACACAAGCAUCAUAAAAAUUAUAAAACAACUACCAUAACCUUAUCACAUCACCAAUAAGAUACUUUAAGCAUUAACUAUACGAAAUAAUGCUUAAAACUAAAAACCAUACAAUAACAACCAUAAAAAGUAAACUUAUUACCUCUUUGUUGUUCUUGCUUAAGGUUUGGAUCUUCCUAUUAGCUUUGGCUCCUUCAAAAACCUUUCAAAACCUUAAACAACUUCCUCCAACAACAUAGAUAAUUAGCUAGUUAAAAAUCUAUGGUAAAAGCUUUACAAAAGUCUAGUUAAUUGAAACUUUACAUUAGGAAAAACCCUUCCUAGACCAAAGCUUAAAUGCUUCCAAGCCUCCUUAGUGUUCUUGAGGUUGAAGAUGGAGAGAAAACUAGAGAGAGUUUUCGAAAAGAUGAUAGUGAAAGUGAGAGAGAGUGGGGUCGGUUGGAGAAGGUUAGAAGAGCAUAUCAACUUAAGAAAAUAUCUGAACACUUGAGUAUUUUUUUUUACCAUCCACUUGAUGCCUUAACCCUUAUAUUUAAAUUGGGAUUAAACUAAAAUCUCUUACCCGUAUCGAAUAGAACAUGCUGAGAAAAAUCUUCUUCAUGUAAAACCUGCUUUAUUUAGAUCGGGAAAAUCGUACGGUUUUAUGAAACCAAAAAAAAAUUUGGUCAACCCUAUUAAAUCCUUCACAUGGCCAGCCACCACAUAUAUUAUAUAUGUGAUCAUAUUUUUUAAUUUUUUUAUAUAAAGUUUAAUAAAUAUUCCCCAAGAAGAAAAAUUCAAUUUGACUUUCUAUAACAUUUUUUCACUCUUAUUAAGUUUUAAACACAUAACUUAACACAUAAUAAUUAAAUUAAAUAUCUCUCACAUUUAUUUUAAUUAAUCACACAAUAAAAUUUAACAUAACGUCCAUUCAUGGAAUAAAAUUUCCAUUUUCCCUUAGGUUUAUUAUUUUUGACCAAACCUUAAUUUUAAUGAAAGUAUUUUAUGCCCAAAAUAUAUUUACCAUAGUUUUUCAUUUUAUUUUUUGAGAUUUUUACUCUAUUAGGAUUUUCGUGUCGGUCUAAGACCGAAAGUCUUAUCUUGACUUUUAAAUCACAAAAUUCAUAAUUUGGCUAGUAAUAACUCAUGGAAUAAUUUCCAAUCAAAUAUAAUAUUAUUUAUAAAAAUAUUCUUAACUCGGAGAAAAUUCUCAACCCAAGUCGUUUAAGGGUGCCCGAAAACGCAGGAAGCUACAUUAUACACUCAAGAUGUUUGAAAAAAUGCCUAAUAGAAUGACCAAAAAAUGACUUUAUAAUUAAUAAUAUUUGAAUAGAUAUGUUUAUAUGUUUUAUUUAGGUUCUGUCUUUCUAGGUUCUAUAUAUGUAUUAUAUAUAUAACUCUUCUUUGUCCAAAUAAGCAUAAUCUCUCAGUCAGUAUUGAUUUUGCAUUUUGAGACUAAUGCAUUUGAGAUAUAUGCUUUCAGUUGCUCAUACGAAAAAGCUCCUAUAAUAAGAACAAGAUUCAUUGGAAUGGUGCAUGAAUCUUGUCUCUUCAAUGUAUGCUUUCAGUUGUGCCAUUCAUGUUUUCAUAUAAAUAUAUAUAUAUAUAUAUAUUCUUCACAUGUGCAUUUCCUAGAAAUAAAUAGAAAAUAGAAUGUUAGAAGUUGUACUCAUGACUAUGCCUUUUCCUAUUGAACUUUAUAUUUUGUGAACUUUGAAGCUUGUUUUAGUCUUUAGUAUACCAAUAAUACAUGACUUAUUUAUGUGAAGAUGAAUCAUAUAAUAAUUGAAGUUGGAAGUGAACUAGUACAUAUAUGAUUCUUUUGCCUUUUUUUUCUUAUAAAAAAAGAGUCAAACUUCACUAAGGUUUGCUAAGUAGAUUAAGAGCCAUUUUAUGGUGUGUGUGUUAGUUAAGUAUAUCCAUGCUAAACUCUGGCCCUGGCUAGGAAAUAUUAUUUUUUAAUCCCAGUUUUGCUUUGUUCUACAGUAUGAUUUAAUUUUAGUUUAUCUUUUUUGAGAAAAGUGACUUGUUGAGACUUUAUUGUUUGUUGGGACUCGAUUAGAGCAUAAGCAUCAAGAAUAUAAAAUUAUCUAACUAUUAAAAAUAGACUAUAUAUAAAUAUAUAAAAUCAUUAUGCUUUAAUAAUUCACUUUAUACAUUGCACAUCAAAGACCAAUAAUUAAACUUUAAAUUGAUAUUGUUUGUUAGACUAUAUUAAGUUUUUUUUUCUUUAUGUUCUCUUUCAUUUGAAUAUAGUGAUUUUCAUAUUUUAUGUGUUUUGUUAGUGCAUUUUAAUGGGUCACUUAGUAAAUCUAGUUCUCAUGCAUGUUACUAGUAAUAGAAAAGCUUGGUCUUCUAAACAAUUCUAACUUUGAAUUGUUAAGGAUUUACUAGUACAGUAGUCUUUCAUGAUCAUUUCGACUUAAUCCUUGGCUAUAAAUGACUCACAAUUUUAUAAGUGUGUCUUGCAUUUUAUUUGGUUUUCUUCUUUGUCUGACUCACGUACUCAUAAAUGCUUUAUAUGAAUCUAAUUAUUGAUUGUAAGGGUUUAGCAACAACAAUGUAUUCCUUGAGCACUUAAAUUUUUUCCAAAAUGGAUUGAUUAUCAUUUAAAAUUCUGGGCAUGCUUAUAUUUCAUAAUUACAUGGUAAUAUUUUUUAAUAUAUAUGUAUGUUUGACCAUAUUGUUUCUUCAAUUCUUCUAAAAUAAGGUACCAUGUCAACUUGCAUUCAUUAUGAUUAUGGAGCAUUUAUCCUUGUAAGAAUUUAUCUUUGAAUUUUGUUAACAAUCCUUUUUAUGCAAUGAGAUAAAAGGGUGCAUUGAUAUAUAAAUUCAUCAUGCAAGUUAGUUGGGCAAACCUUGAGUAAAGAAAAAAAGAAAAAAGAGAAUAAAGUUGGUAGCUAGGCAUGUUUGCUUUGACAGGAAAAGAAAUUCAGCUCCAGAAAUGGCAUUCAGUAUAUGAUAGUUUGUGUAAGUUGUUAGAUGAAAAUAUUGAUUUGUUACAAGCCACCAUUUUUCUUUGAAAUUUUGGUUUGCCCUACAUCAUCCAAGAUAUUGUAACUUAUAAAUAAUUUAUUUUAUAUAGUUUUUUUUCCUUUCAAUUGUUGCAUGUUAAAAUAAAUGGCCUAGACCAUGCCCAAAUAAAAGAAUGAAAAACAAUUACGUCGAUGCUUUAAUUGAGGAGUCUUGUCUCCCUUUUCUUUAAUUGAGGAGUCUUGUCUCCAUUAUAAUCUUUAUUUAAUAUUUGUUUCCUUUUAUCUUGUAGUAGGUCCUUAUGCAUAUAUAUUACAGUCGAAGCAUAUGUAUGUUCUUUCCAUUUUCUUUUAUUUUGUUUGAUUGUUUUGUGACAUAUGAUUCUAGUUCAAUAAAGUAUCAUGUGGCUACUAUUUUGUUA